UGAUUAGAGAUUACAUUUGGUAUUUUUUGGUAAUAAUGAAAAUGCUGGAUUUUCUCUCAUCUCUAUCAGGAGGAAGCCUCUCUAAGCCCUUACUGGGAAUGGACCUGCCCGUUUGUUCUCCAAGGCGAUGGAGCACAUGCUAGUCGGUUCUACGAUGUCUGAAGCACUUUAAGUCUUGCCCAGGAGACACUCAGUGUUGGAUUUCUGAAAGCCCGCAUCAUUCGGCAUAGAGGCGUAUACCAUCAGGGAGUUAGCCAGCCUGCUUUCACUACGGUAAUUGAGGAAAGGAAGAAAGCUCCCAAGUGAUUGUUGUUCUGUCACCACCUGUGUCUUCUGCAGCAAGAGUAGCCUGGUGGUGUGAAGAGAGGGAGCGCCAAGAAUCCCACAAACUCGAGACUGUCUAUAAAUAUCGCCUUCACUAUUUGUGCUUUAAAGUAAGCUUCAUUUACGGAAUGGACAUGCUGCUAGAAGAAAAUAAAUCCGAACGGUAUUGACUUUAGAGUAAUAAACAAACAAGAGACACCUUGGACCAAAAGGUGUGACUAAGUUGUAGUGAGCUGCAAGUUGCACACUAGAAGAAAGUAAAAGAUUAGUCAAGUUGCUUCUUUGUUCUUCCAGAGGUCUAUGAUGAGCAAUUACAGAAAUGCCGCCAUCAAAAUAGUGGCAGGUAGUAUGUACGUUUUACUUUUACAAUUAAACCAUCCUCCUCUUUACUAGUAACUUCAAUGGGAAAAGUUGGCACAAAGGGGUUCAGCAAAACGACAGUGGAAAACGACAUGCAUGAAUGUUGACUGGAAGACUUCUUUAUUGUUAUAUGGACAAUUCAUGCCACUAUAUCUUGAGCACUUAAAAAAAAGAGUUGGGAGACACUGCCCGGUAGAGAGAUGCUAGAAGUGGAAGCAGAGAGACCAAGUAGGCGGUACAGUCCGUUUAAAUACCCACUUUGUUCUUGGCCCAGGUGGGGAUCUCAGGUGAGAUUAUAGGGCAUUCUGGGAAGUGCCAAGGACUUCUGGGGACUGAAGUCUGGGGUUCAAAUCUCCAUUUUUGCAGUACCAAAUAACAUCAUGAAAAAUGAAACUAACAUAACUAACAAAAAUUGAUUGAUUUCUGUUGUAUGAACCUUGUUCAAAUCAUUCUAUGAAGAGUUGAGAAAUUUUCCUUUAGAAGACAGAGUAAAAAUGAGAAAAUAUUUUUACAUUAAAGGAGUUCUCAAUUUGUCUAACAAGAUGUUGCUUUCCCCAAAUGGGAACAGCACAAUUAUGCCAUAUGAUUAUGAUGUCAUUCGAGACCGAUUUGGAAGGAAGGAAACAGGUAAAACAGAAAAAGUUUCUAUUAAGAUUUCUAAAGAACUAUGUAUCAAAAUUUAGAUUAAAAACAUUCCCAAAGGGGGAAGGAGCCAAGAUGGCAGAGUGGAAGCAUGGAAAGCUUGAAUCACUAUGAGAAUCCUUUCCAACAAACCUUGAAAUAACCUCAAAAGGAAUACCAGAGUGAAAGAACCGAGGAGAUGGAAUGAAGCAACUGUCAUGUAGAGAACAACUUGAAAGGGGCCAAUCACAACUUCCAAAUUGCCUAGUACUGCCCAGGGGGACAGUGUCUGUGAGAUCCACCUCUAAUCCUCUGAAGGUGUCAAAGGAUUCACAAGUUUCUGACUGAUCGGGUUAACAGGAUGGAGCUCUCCAAAGAGCACCCUACAGAGAUAACGUCCCGAGUCGGGCUAGACAUACAGAAUACAUAAAGGGAAAAGAGUCAAUGCGACAAAAUAGCGGCCCAUCAAUUCACUUAGCAAAUUGUGGCACAUGGAUAUGCCUCAGUAUUGCUGUGGUGUUAGAAAUGAUGAGAGUGAUGAAUACCGAGAAGCCCAGAACGAGGGAUGCGAACUCAUGUAGAGUGGGACAAAGCUCAGUGAAAGACACAACCUAUCAGUGGCUGUAACAAUGUCUGGGUGGACCUCAUUUUAUGCAAGCAAUAUAUUCCAGGACCCUUCAUGUAAGUUGAAAAUACAAGCAUGCUAGUAAACCUCAUUAUUUAAUAAGUAUUUCUUAUCCAACCACACCUAGAUAUUUUACGAUUUACAUUGUCGGGGUUAACAGCAUCCGUAUUCUUGCUCUCCUGGGGCCAUUAUUAAUAUUUAAGCACCAUUAAUGAAACAACGAGAAGUAUUGCCCUGACAGUGACACGACUUUUUAAAAGUGAGAGUCUUGGUCAAAGACUGAUGUAGGUGCAAAUGUUCAGUGCAAAACCUUGUAAUGAUUUACUCUAGUGCUGCUCAGCAUGAAAAUGAGCAUGAUUGGGUGAACUGCUGUGAGACCUGAUGCUUCUUGGGGAAAAGCGCAGAUUUAGUGCACAAUUAAAAAUGUUUAUUUUACGUAUUUUUUGCCUUUAAAUAUGUAUUUAUUUGUUGACUGUCAGUUAUGUAUAUCUAAAUUUGUGGGUUGAGUGUGUGCCAAACGCAGUCCUACUGGAAAUAGGGAGAACAACCAUACAUUAAACAAAAUGAAAAGUAACUAUUUCACAGUUAUAAGGAAAUUUAUUAAUUAAAUUCAACUUCCUCUUCCUCUUCUCCUUUCAAUACUGGGAAAUCCAUAAAUGUUUUAGAUAGCGCAUUUAUCUUGCUUUAUUUAUCUAAAUUAUGCUGUUUUUUCCCCUUUUUCUUUUCUUUAAAAUAUCUGUUAUAUUGCAUGCAUCUCUAGAAAGGGGAGAGGGAAAGAGUCACUGAGGGAAACUGGUGAUAUAAAAAUCCCCAAAUGCAGCAAUAAAAACUUGAAACGUCACAGCUAGUCAUGCCUAUCCAAUAGCUCUACCUUCUGACUAUUCUAGUAUAAUGGAGCCACAGGCCAACCAUUCAGUUUUUUGAAGUUGGCAAUUAAAGUCUUGGGAGUUUUCCCCACAAUACUUUCUCUAUAAAAUUAUUUAAAUUUAUUUUUCUGAAAUUGACUCGAAAUUCUCUUAAAAGCCAUUGGUUAACUCUCCAGGUUUCGCACAAAUGCUUUCCCCAUAACAAUUAAUUCACCAAGAUUUCUCAGGAAGUUUUUUAGUCUUCUCUCUGUGUCAUACAGAGAUGCUCAUAGAUGACGUUCUUAAAGAUUGUACUCCCUUUUUUCUCAAUGAGAUGAGCUAGUUAAUACCAAGUUAUUACUACAUGAGGUUAAAUCAGUUUACUACCUGAGCCACCCACAGGACAACAGAAUCAAUAGAAAUGACAAAGAGAGGAUUGAUAAAAUUUUAUAACUGGAUGGGUAUAGAAAGGGAAGAAUCAAAGAUGAUUCAAAUUUUUGAACCUUGGAUAAAUAUGGUAAUGACUUUCAUAGAAAAGUAAGAAGAGAAAUGACUUAAGGAAAAAUUAUGGAAGGUAUUUUGGACCUAGACUUGAGUUUGAGGGAAUCGUGGGGAGAGGGGCAGCAAAAUCACUUGAUUAAAAUAACACUGUAAAUACUCUUUCUUUUAAAAUUAAAAAAAGUUUUUAUUGUUUUUUUCAGUUACAUGUAGAAACAAUUUUAAACAAUUAUUUUCUGACAUUUUGUAAUACAGCUUCCCUCCCUCCCCUUCUUCCUCUAUGAGACAGUAAAUGAACUAAUAGAGGUUAAACCAGUGUUGUCAUGUGAUGCACAUUUCCAUAUUCCUUAUGCUGUCAAAGAAGACACAUAUUAUAUAUACAGAAAAAAAAUCAUGGAGGAAAUAAAAUGAAGAAAAAAAAUUAGAUACUUCAAACUGUGUCCUGACUCCAACAGCUGUGAAUAGCUUUUUCAGUUAUGUGUUGCUUGGGGUUAUCUUGAAUCCUUGUAUUGCUGAAUAAUAGCUUAGUACUGCACAACUGAUAAAAUUGCAAUAUUGCUGUUAUUAUAUAUGAUGUUCUCCUUUUGCUCACUUUAUUGAAAGUAUUCUUUAAGAAACAAUCAACCCUUUCUUUCUGUCUUCUAAUCAGUACUAAGCAUGGGUCGAGGCAGAAGAGAGGUAAAGGUUAUGCAUUUGGGGUUAAGAGACUUGCCCAGAGUCUGAACAACUCACAAGUGGGAGGACAGACUGGACCCAAGACCUCCUUGUAUCUCGACCUGUCUCUCUAUUCACUGAGACACCGAGAUGCCCCUGUUGCAAAUACCCUUAAGGAAAGUUUCACAAAGUAUGGAGGAGACAGAGAUGAAUUCCAUCUGGGAUGAUCAAAGAUGUUAUGAGAGUGACAUUUCAAUUUCACAUUGAAAGAUGAAUAGUAGCUGGAUACACAGAAUGGGUGAGGGUAUGCCACAUAUUAAGAUGUCAGAAACAAAAUCAGGGAGGCAAAAAGGGGACGGGGAUAACUAUUGUAGGAUAUACAUUGGAAAAUAGUGCUAGAAAAGUAAAAUCAGGAGGCAGCCAUAAAGGGCUUUGGAUGAUACUCCAAAUAAAGUUGAAUUUUUAUAUGAUUGGGAACAGGGAGCUAAUGAUGCCUAUUGAACAAGUAAACAAAGUGAUAAAUACUAUGCAUUAAGAUUAAGUUGAUAGUGGUACAUAGGAUGGAUUGAAAUGGAAAAGAAUGGAAGAAAAAUUAAGAAAAAGGAAAUCUAAAAAGAUAUUUAGAAAAAACCCACUUUUUUCCAGGCUUAGUUUAGUCUUUUAAGACUAAAUGACAUUAAUGGUUUUUUAUCAUGCCAUUUCCUUCAAUAGCUUUUUUAGGGUUUCCUGAAAAUCUGUAGCAUAACAUAAGUAUGUGAAUGAAUCCUCACUUUCCAUCAUUCAUGCACUGUUCAAUGUGCUUUGAGAUGUAUUUCUAGGAAUGGGAAUGGAUUGAGGUUGAUUUGAUCACACUCACAUCCCCUGAAAAUGCUCAAGAUGAUGGAUCGGCUUAUAAAAUGGCUAGAUAGGGUGCAUAGUUGGUGGCCAUGGAAUAAAAUAAAGCCAAUUAGCCUACAUGCACAUCACACUCAUCUUUUAUUUCAUUAGUACAACUACAUACUGCUAAUCAACGACACAAUGCACAGUGAUGGGAAUAUGAGCCACAAUAUUUAACAC